rnacentral:lncRNA from 12 species
GGCCACUCAGGGGUCACUCAGGGGUCACUCAGGGGUCACUCAGGGUCAGGGGUGGCCUCCCGGAUCUUCCCAUGCUCUUGGAAUGUUGGGAUUUGGGGAUCUGGGCUCCCACAAAGGGGAGUUCAGGGGUGGGGAGUCCAGGGUCAGGGGUGGCCACCAGACCUGGUGGUCAGGGGUGGCUAGUGACCAUGAGGUCAUGGACUUGGUGGUCAGGGGUGGCCAGUGACCAUGACUUCAUGGGUGGCCACCAGACCUGGUGGUCAAGGCUGGACAGUGACCCCAAGAUCGUGGACCUGGUGGUCAAGAAUGAACAAUGACCACAAGUUCCUGAGUGGCCACCAGGAUCUGGUGGUCAAGGGUGGACAAUGACCACAAGUUCAUGGCUGGCCACCAGACCUGAUGGUCAAGGGUGGACAGUGACCAUGAGGUCAUGGACAUGGUGGUGAAGGAUGGACAAUGGCCACAAGGUCAUAGGUGGCCACCGAACCUGGUGGUCAAGGGCUACUGAUGACCACAAGUUCAUGGGUGACCACAGGAUCUGGUGGUCAAGGCUGGACCAUGACCACGAGGCCUUGCAGCCCCUGAGGCCAGGGGGUUCCCCUGAGCCAAACCUGGACUCUGGAGCCUCAUUCCCUCCUGUCCCUGUGUCCGUCUGUCUGUCCGUGUCCCUGUCCCCGUGCCCGCAGGGCUGGUGCAGCGCUGUGUCGUCAUCCAGCGGGACCAGCAUGGCUUCGGCUUCACCGUCAGCGGCGACCGCGUCGUGCUGGUGCAGUCCGUGCGGCCAGGUGGGGCUGCCAUGA